UUCUGAACUUUGUGUCGGUAAUUAUGAUGCGCUCAGGAAAUGUGUCUUUCCAGGAAAUAAAGAUCAGCUCAGCCCAAGCACCACGUAAGCCUCAUUUCUUUCAUACGGCAGAUUAUGUGGGCAGGAAAUGUUGUCACUCUUUACCCUGUGGAUGACUGAUUCCAGACCUGACCAAGUGCAGGCAAGCACAUCUCCUUCAUCUAAAUGAUCCGGUGAACGAUCCAAAUGAUCUGACACUGAGAAAAAGGAGAGAAGGGAAAACUGUCCCAGUGUUGCUGGAUGAACCUAACAUUUUUUUCUGUUUUCAGCAGGGUGUUUCAGAUCAGAACGGGGCAGGCUGCGGAUCAAUGCACAGGUGACUUCUCUCUAGCAGGUGUUUUGUUCCCAGUAAGCCAGGUUUGUGCCUUGGGAUGAUUCACUGCGACACCUGAAUCCUUUUUAUCAGUGGUGGGCCCAACCCACAACUUUCUGACCCCAUUUUUUCCAAAGCUUUUUGAGCAUAUUUGAGUUCAGCCACCCCAGUUCCAUAACCAAACAGUCUCCCUGUGUGAUGUGUUCAUUUACCAGUCACCGUGGUGCCUUCGUUAGACUGCGUCCACAGUCUGGAGGGAAGGGAGGAGGUCAGGUUCUGCAGGAGGGAUGCAGGAGGGAAAGGGAGCGGAGAGGAUUUAAGCUAUAUUAAGAUUUCAGCACAUCUGCAGCAAAUGGAGAAGCGCUUCCACCAGAAAUGUGAGUGUCAAUCUUGCGGAGGGAAAACACAGAGGAAAUGAAACCUCCUUGAUAAAAUGGAUAGGAAAUAUAAACUUUUUACAAGUGUCAUGAGCAGCCUCUUAGGCAAAAACGGAGUGCCAGCCCCACACUCCCUCCCCAUCCAGCAGCUCUUUACCAUGGGGUACAUGUGCAUUUGUGGAAGUUUCCUGGUUCAGAUUUGCACUGUGUGUCUGGCUGCAAUACCUUGUGCCACCCGGCUGGCAAAUAGCAUCCUAUUCUCCCAAAUACCUUUCCAAAAUAUCCUAUCCAGUGGCAAACUCCUCCUACCCGUCUGCAUUGCAGGACUCUGGUGAGGCUCCAAGGUUGGAGAGGAUGUUGGCUUUAGGGACAGCCGGAGACGGAAGGGAGGCAGCCAGAAAAAAAAUACAGUCGCAGCCAAGCAAUAUGCCUGUUUUCCCACUUCCCCCCUGUCUUUCGCUUUAAUAUUAAAGUAAUAACAGCGCAUUAUGCAGAAGUGAGAGAUGCCUCUCGGGACUGGGCUUUUGCCAUGGGCAGACUGAAGGGUGAUGGGCACACCAGAAACAUCGCCGUGUGUCUGGGAGCCAGCGGCAGGCGUCCGAGCCCGACCUCUGCAUCCCAGCCUUGCAGGGAGAGCCUCAAAAGGAAGACAAGCAACCUGCCUCCCUCUGCCUUGUUAUUAAUAACCAAAAUUUGAAUUCAUAUUAGCCUUCUGUAAAACCCUGCUAAGGACAUGCUGAAGUCGGGCUUUACAAAUUUCUGCAGGAUCCCUUGGGAGCAGCAAAAGCCUCUGAAGAAGCAAUAUCUGGAUGGGAAACUUAUGUCCUCCAAGCUGGCAAGUUGUAACACCGACACAGCUCGUUCCUGUAGCUGCAAAGCUCUGCCUGCAAAAGGUACAGAGCCCCUCCUCCCCCCUCGUUAUUUAACAACUGGCCCUGAUUUACGUGGCUCAUUAAUGCGGUGGUAACACCGACACACACGUUCCCAAAUAAACCAGAAGGUUUAUACUUGACCUGGGCCCUCUGCUCUCUGCAGCUGCCCCAGAGGAUUUGAAGAACAGUGAUUUGAAGUGAUUGCAUCGGGUAAGGCCGUUACACAAUGCAAAUACAGGCGGACGCCAGCAUUUAAUUUUUAAAAACCGCUGCUAUUGGAGAGCCUUUGAGCCAGGGACAACACCAGCCCAGCUCCCUUUGCAGGCUUGGCUCAGCCUCACCCCUGCAAAUAGAGAAGCGAAGCAGGACAAGUUUCAUACCAAAAAGGUUUUUUCCUAUGGCCUGGAUGGGUUUGCUCCAAACUGUCCCCUUCUCCUUCACCCCCAUGGGGUGUUGCUAUCCAGUUGGGGGGGCAGCAGCAAUGUGGGGUGGCCCUGCUCUGCUCACCCCCCAGCAGCACAGACAAGCCCUUGGCACACUCCAAGCCAGCUUUCCAGCAGCGAGCACAUCAGGCUCAGGGUCAAAUGGUAAGGGUGAUUAUUUGUCGCCCGCGGGUGGGGUUUUUAUUGCUCUAUUUUGAGUAUUGCAGAGUGAGGGGAAUAAAAGGAGAGGGUUUAAGCUGACGAUUACACAAUAAAUGGCAGCAUCCCUGCUAAUGUGCUGAGUGCCUACAAAGAGCUGCUAGUCAAACACCCAUAAAGGUUUGCUCUGGUGAUGUAUAUAACCUCCUGCCUUCUGCAAAUGGCUUAACUCCAUCGGCUCCUAGCUCAUUCCCAGGCAGGCGCUGAAAUCCCAGGAGCUGGAGCACGGAGGCACAAGGGGACAGGACGAGUCCCUGGGGACAGGACAAGUCCCUGAGGUCCCCUCCUGCCACCGAGACCACCACGCUCAGAGCUGGCCUGUGGGGAAAGGAAGCCUGUGAAAACAACACCAGCAGGAGGUAAGCUUGCUGAACACACCGGGGAACAAGGCAGUGAGACUGCUCCUGGAUUCUCAGGUGACAAAAUUUCCCCAGGGUACCCCUUCGGAUGUCUUUGUGAAAACCUUUCCCUCUGCAAAGAGGCUUCCAAAAGCAACAGGAUGGGGACAGAACCUCCCGGGACCACAAACAGGUCUGAUUCCAGGGAUGCAGAUGUCGUCCUUGCCUUUGCCACCCCAGACGAGAGCUGGACCCCAGGAGGUGUUAACCCCCCCCGAAACCAGCACCCCUUUAUAUCCGACAGCCACCCCCGCUAACGAAUCCAUCCUACACCUGGCAAGGCUUUCCGUGCUCCACACAGCUCUGCCCAUCUGAACGCCUUACAUACUAAAGGAAUUACUGCAGUUGCUCUUUCUGGCUCCCCAGGCACCAGGAACCGUCUCUGGCCGGGUUGGCAGGCGGCAGCGCUUCCUGGGGAAGCAGGAGAAGCAGCCCCGAUGUGCCAGCCUCUGUGCCAGCAACGCCCCCGGGAUCUCUGGCACCAUCCGAGGUGGAGAGGAAGAGAAAUUUUAAGGAUAUUUCACUGGGAUUGCAAAAUAAUAA